AUACACCUUUAUGAUAUUAUGUCAUUUUAUGAAUUACGUUAUAAAAUUAUGUUAUGGACUGACUAUCAUGAUUAGAGAACUAUAUUAGUUCAUUAGUUGCCCCGGUGUAAACACUGAUAGUAACUGGGUAGUAGGAAUCCACUGAGACGAAGUGACUGUUCUCAUCCCCCACUUAUUUGAUUUCAGAUAAGCAGGUUGAUCGAGAUAUCUUGGUUUGCUAGCAUGAAGAUUCAGAUACGCGGAUUACGUUAUGGAGCUGACAUCAUGUUAAUCUUAUUAUUAUAUAAGAUUCAGUGUAUUUAAGUUCAAUAGUUAGCUCAAUCAUGUAUUCAUUUAGUGGAUUAUUGUAAUCCUAUCCAUGUAUUUGAUCUUUAUGUAAUGAUGAUUAAUGUUUCCCGAUUCAGUUAUGUUCACUUUUGUCGAUAUUCUAGAUAAAUUGACAUGGGGUGUUAUAAUUGGUAUCAGAGCAGGUCGAUUCAGUAUCGGACCUUGCCGCGGAUCAUUAAAGUUCAAUAAAAGUAGUACGGACCCUUUGGAGUCUGAACUGUUUACGCUGAAAUCAUCGUGUGCUGAGCCUGAUCAACUCAGUAUCGUGUAUGGUAGGCAGGGUAUUACGGUUGAGAACCGAAGUGGACCAAGG
rnacentral:lncRNA from 1 species